CUACGGGCGGCAGCAGUGAGGAAUAUUGCACAAUGGGGGGAACCCUGAUGCAGCAACGCCGCGUGGAGGAUGACGCAUUUCGGUGUGUAAACUCCUUUUAUAUGUCAAGAAAAUGACGGUAGCAUAUGAAUAAGCACCGGCUAACUCCGUGCCAGCAGCCGCGGUAAUACGGAGGGUGCAAGCGUUACUCGGAAUCACUGGGCGUAAAGGACGCGUAGGCGGGUUGGAAAGUCAGGUGUGAAAUCCUACAGCUUAACUGUAGAACUGCACUUGAAACUUCUAAUCUAGAGUAUGGGAGGGGGAGAUGGAGUUAGUGGUGUAGGGGUAAAAUCCGUAGAUAUCACUAGGAAUACCUAAAGCGAAGGCGAUCUCCUGGAACAUUACUGACGCUAAGGCGUGAAAGCGUGGGGAGCAAACAGGAUAAAUACCCUCGUAGUC
rnacentral:rRNA from 1 species